rnacentral:rRNA from 1 species
GUCCACGCCCUAAACGAUGUCAACUGGUUGUUGGACGGCUUGCUGUUCAGUAACGAAGCUAACGCGUGAAGUUGACCGCCUGGGGAGUACGGCCGCAAUGUUGAAACUCAAAGGAAUUGACGGGGACCCCGCACAAGCGGUGUAUGAUGUGGUUUAAUUCGAUGCAACGCGAAAACCUUACCUACCCUUGACAUGUCUGGAAUCCUGAAGAGAUUUGGGAGUGCUCGAAAGAGAACCAGAACACAGGUGCUGCAUGGCCGUCGU